ensembl:lncRNA
CACCUGUACAGAUGUUGUAGAUGCGUUUCUCUGCUCUUAAUACCGGACAACAUCUCCUGAAUACUUGCUCGCCAAAGUAAAAAAAGAUAAGAUUGACGGAUGUCCAAAACGGGAAGACUGAAUAAUACAGUUGGUAUUCCAUAUGAAUAUUCCAAUUUAACAAACCAUGCACGGAUUCGGAAAUACCGUAAUUUCAUGAUUUGGAUUGUGGCUUUGAAUAAUAGCUAGCCUACUGUGUGUACCUCGUCACGCACUCAAGGGCGUACACCACGCCCACACCUGAACCACGCCCACACCUGAACAGAUACAAUCAGGAGACCACUCUGUGAAACAUCACUUGCCCUGAGCAAUCUUCUCGUCCCGCCUCGUCCCGCCUCGUCUCGGCCCGUCUCGACUCGACUCGUCCCAGCUUUUUUGUUCUCAAAGUUAAAAAGAAUAAUGACUGGCAUUCGUAAGUCCCCGGCAGACUUUGCAUCGUCCGAUCAUCCGGAUACGAUUGCCAUGAGGGAUCUGGCCUCCAAGAACUAUCGCAUUUGUGUAGAUGACGUCUACACAAAGGAGCAGAAGAUGGAGCACGCCUACACGUUUGGGGUGAUGGUCUGCAACCAGACCAUACGAUACACCGAGAAGGCGAAGCACACCGAGAAUGUGCGCAGGCAGCAGCUUGAGUGCCUGCGGAGGGAGGUCGAACGACUUGGACAGGAUCUCAGGACAUCCCAGGCCAGCUUGUCUGUUACGCAAACAGAUCUGGACGCCACACAGAACGAAUUCCUGGCCACGCUGCACGAACGCCUCCCAAGAACUGGACUACCUGGACAGCACGACCGCCUCCCAAGAUGCUGAUUCGUCCCAUCCAUUGUGUUCGACGAUGGUCGAUGACAUGGACGAGAACGGGAACGGAGAUCCACUACCAGGCCCCUGUAAAGUAGUGUAGUUUGAUAUUGUAAAUAGUGUUUUUUUUUUAAUAUAGUGUGACAUUGUAAAUAGUAUGCUUUUUUUUAAACUUCAAUAAAAACUCAAACAUCUGAUAUUGUUUAAUAUUUACACAAAUUACACAAAAAGGAAUGUUUCUCAAUUCGGGUUCUUUUCUGUGCUUGUGUGCUUGCGUUCUUGUGAAACGUCAUCAGUCGUAGCCCAAGUACUGUUCCAAUUCAAAGUACGCAUCAGGCUAAGUACUGUCGUAAGAUGGAGGCC